rnacentral:rRNA from 1 species
GACGUCAAGUCCUCAUGGCCCUUAUGGGUAGGGCUUCACACGUCAUACAAUGGUCGGUACAGAGGGUUGCCAAGCCGCGAGGUGGAGCCAAUCCCUUAAAGCCGAUCGUAGUCCGGAUCGUAGUCUGCAACUCGACUACGUGAAGUCGGAAUCGCUAGUAAUCGCAGAUCAGCAUGCUGCGGUGAAUACGUUCCCGGGUCUU